rnacentral:rRNA from 1 species
AUUGAGCGCUGGCGGCAGGCCUAACACAUGCAAGUCGAACGGUAACAGAAAGCAGCUUGCUGCUUUGCUGACGAGUGGCGGACGGGUGAGUAAUGUCUGGGAAACUGCCUGAUGGAGGGGGAUAACUACUGGAAACGGUAGCUAAUACCGCAUAACGUCGCAAGACCAAAGAGGGGGACCUUCGGGCCUCUUGCCAUCGGAUGUGCCCAGAUGGGAUUAGCUAGUAGGUGGGGUAACGGCUCACCUAGGCGACGAUCCCUAGCUGGUCUGAGAGGAUGACCAGCCACACUGGAACUGAGACACGGUCCAGACCCCUACGGGAGGCAGCAGUGGGGAAUAUUGCACAAUGGGCGCAAGCCUGAUGCAGCCAUGCCGCGUGUAUGAAGAAGGCCUUCGGGUUGUAAAGUACUUUCAGCGGGGAGGAAGGGAGUAAAGUUAAUACCUUUGCUCAUUGACGUUACCCGCAGAAGAAGCACCGGCUAACUCCGUG